rnacentral:rRNA from 1 species
UACGUAGGGGGGCAAGCGUUGUCCGGAAUCAUUGGGCGUAAAGCGCGUGUAGGCGGCUCGAUAAGUCUGCUGUGAAAGUCCAGGGCUCAACCCUGGGAUGCCGGUGGAUACUGUCGAGCUCGAGUCCGGAAGAGGCGAGUGGAAUUCCUGGUGUAGCGGUGAAAUGCGCAGAUAUCAGGAGGAACACCAAUGGCGAAGGCAGCUCGCUGGACGUGACUGACGCUGAGACGCGAAAGCGUGGGGAGCAAACAGG